rnacentral:lncRNA from 1 species
CAGUAUUUAACACACCCCUCCUCAAGCAGACACACUAUAAGCACUGCCUACCCCUGGGGCUGGACAUGAACACUAACAAUGAAUGUACUUGGCUCACCUCUUUCUACUUGCUCUCUUGCUUGCUGAUUUGUCAUUCCAGGGUACGGACAAACCCCUAAGCUGAAGGUCUCCCAGAGAAGGAUGCCAAAGCUCCACACGUCACUCUCUGAACUGUAUCUCCCUGGAAGAGGAACAACAACCAUAACCACAUGAGGCACAGUAGACAAGCUAACCUAGCAGAAUGUGGUAGAAGUGAUGGUAUGAAGUUCUGGAGUGUAGGCCACAAGAGACCUUGCAGCUUCCAACUUUUGUCUUUCUGGAACAUUCCUGAUACCAUGUAAAGAAGCCCAGGAAGCCGAGGCAGGAGGAUCGAGCGCAGGAGUUCAAGACCAGCCUGGGCAACACAGUGGGAUCCUGUCUCUAAUUUUAAAAAAAUGUAAACCACAAUGAGAUAUCACUGCACAUACCCACCAGAAUGACUAAAACUCAAGACUGACGGUAACAAGUGUUGACAAAGACAUGAAGAAAUAGCAGCUGUCAUACAUUGUUGGUGAGAACACAAAGUGGAACAACCACUUUGGAAAACAGUUUUGUAGUUUCUUAUAAAGCUAAAUGUAAUUUUUUUCCAUAGAACCCAGCCACUCACCUUCUAGAUAUUUUCUCAAGAAAAAUAACACACUGACACAAAGACUUACAUAUGACUAUUCAGAGCAGCUUUCUUCAUAAUGGCCCUAAACUGGAAAUAACCCACCUGUUUAUCAACUGGAGAUUGGAAAACAAUCUGUAAUAUAUUCAUACAAUGAAAUACUCAGAAAUAAAAAAGCAUAAACUAACAUACGCAAUAAUAUGGACAGAUCUGAAAAGCAUUAUAAGUUACAAAAAAGAAAGCUAGAACAAAACAUACUGCAUAUGUUUUGUUCUAAUGAAAUGAUCUAAAUGUCGAUCAUUUAGACAUUAGAGAUCAUAGCUCGAUGUAAAUGCAAUUUUAGAAACAUCUAAGCUACAGUGACAGAUGAGUGGUUCCCUAGGGCCAGAGAUAGGAAAAGGAUACUGACUGCAAAACAGUGUGAGGGAACUUUUGGGGAUGAUGGAAGUGUGGUAAUGAUUACAUGACAUGACUAUAUGUAUUUGGCAAGACUCAUCAAACUGUACCUUAAAAUUGGUGCAUUUUAUUGUAUUUAUAGUGCAAUAAAGGUGAUUAAAAAAAUAGGCACCUUAAGAUUCUUACAAAUAUAUAAUAUGCAAGUCUUGUGUGAAUCUGUUAUUUUUCCUGAGUAAAUAUCUAUUUGUAACUAUAUAAAAUUAUAAAGUUACUGGUGUUACUAAUAAAGAACUUGGGAUGG